UGCAGUCGAGCGGUAACAGAAAGUAGCUUGCUACUUUGCUGACGAGCGGCGGACGGGUGAGUAAUGCUUGGGAACAUGCCUUGAGGUGGGGGACAACAGUUGGAAACGACUGCUAAUACCGCAUAAUGUCUACGGACCAAAGGGGGCUUCGGCUCUCGCCUUUAGAUUGGCCCAAGUGGGAUUAGCUAGUUGGUGAGGUAAUGGCUCACCAAGGCGACGAUCCCUAGCUGGUUUGAGAGGAUGAUCAGCCACACUGGGACUGAGACACGGCCCAGACUCCUACGGGAGGCAGCAGUGGGGAAUAUUGCACAAUGGGCGCAAGCCUGAUGCAGCCAUGCCGCGUGUGUGAAGAAGGCCUUCGGGUUGUAAAGCACUUUCAGUCAGGAGGAAAGGUUAACGGUUAAUACCCGUUAGCUGUGACGUUACUGACAGAAGAAGCACCGGCUAACUCCGUGCCAGCAGCCGCGGUAAUACGGAGGGUGCGAGCGUUAAUCGGAAUUACUGGGCGUAAAGCGUACGCAGGCGGUUUGUUAAGCGAGAUGUGAAAGCCCCGGGCUCAACCUGGGAACUGCAUUUCGAACUGGCAAACUAGAGUGUGAUAGAGGGUGGUAGAAUUUCAGGUGUAGCGGUGAAAUGCGUAGAGAUCUGAAGGAAUACCGAUGGCGAAGGCAGCCACCUGGGUCAACACUGACGCUCAUGUACGAAAGCGUGGGGAGCAAACGGGAUUAGAUACCCCGGUAGUCCACGCCGUAAACGAUGUCUACUAGAAAGCUCGGAGCCUCGGUUCUGUUUUUCAAAGCUAACGCAUUAAGUAGACCGCCUGGGGAGUACGGCCGCAAGGUUAAAACUCAAAUGAAUUGACGGGGGCCCGCACAAGCGGUGGAGCAUGUGGUUUAAUUCGAUGCAACGCGAAGAACCUUACCUACACU
rnacentral:rRNA from 1 species